AUUGAACGCUGGCGGCAUGCUUUACACAUGCAAGUCGAACGGCAGCGCGGGGCAACCUGGCGGCGAGUGGCGAACGGGUGAGUAAUAUAUCGGAACGUACCCAGAAGUGGGGGAUAACAUAGCGAAAGUUACGCUAAUACCGCAUACGAUCUACGGAUGAAAGUGGGGGACCUUCGGGCCUCAUGCUUGUGGAGCGGCCGAUAUCUGAUUAGCUAGUUGGUGAGGUAAAGGCUCACCAAGGCGACGAUCAGUAGCUGGUCUGAGAGGACGACCAGCCACACUGGGACUGAGACACGGCCCAGACUCCUACGGGAGGCAGCAGUGGGGAAUUUUGGACAAUAGGCGCAAGCCUGAUCCAGCAAUGCCGCGUGAGUGAAGAAGGCCUUCGGGUUGUAAAGCUCUUUUGUCAGGGAAGAAACGGGACUGGUUAAUACCUGGUCCUAAUGACGGUACCUGAAGAAUAAGCACCGGCUAACUACGUGCCAGCAGCCGCGGUAAUAC
rnacentral:rRNA from 1 species